UACGAAGGGUGCGAGCGAUGACCGGACUUACGGGGCGUAAAGAGCUCGCAGGUGGGUUGUAACGUUGUUCGUGAAAACUCACAGCUUAACUGUGGGCGUGCGGGCGAUACGGGCAGACUGGAGUACUGCAGGGGUGACUGGAAUUCCUAGUGUAGCGGUGGAAUGCGCAGAUAUCAGGAGGAACACCGGUGGCGAAGGCGCGUCUCUGGGCAGUAACUGACGCUGAGGAGCGAAAGCGUGGGGAGCGAACAGG
rnacentral:rRNA from 1 species